GUGAGGAAUAUUGGUCAAUGGGCGAAAGCCUGAUCCAGCAAUGCCGCGUGAGUGAUGAAGGCCUUAGGGUUGUAAAGCUCUUUUACCAGGGAUGAUAAUGACAGUACCUGGAGAAUAAGCUCCGGCUAACUCCGUGCCAGCAGCCGCGGUAAUACGGAGGGAGCUAGCGUUGUUCGGAAUUACUGGGCGUAAAGCGCACGUAGGCGGCUACUCAAGUCAGAGGUGAAAGCCCGGGGCUCAACCCCGGAACUGCCUUUGAAACUAGGUAGCUAGAAUCUUGGAGAGGUCAGUGGAAUUCCGCGUGUAGAGGUGAAAUUCGUAGAUAUUCGGAAGAACACCAGUGGCGAAGGCGACUGACUGGACAAGUAUUGACGCUGAGGUGCGAAAGCGUGGGGAGCAAACAGGAUUAGAUACCCCGGUAGUCC
rnacentral:rRNA from 1 species